AACGAACGCUGGCGGCAUGCCUAACACAUGCAAGUCGAACGAAGCCUUCGGGCUUAGUGGCGCACGGGUGCGUAACGCGUGGGAAUCGGCCCUUGGGUUCGGAAUCAGAGUUAGAAAUGACUGCUAAUACCGGAUGAUGUCUUCUGACCAACGAUUUAUCGCUCAAGGAUGAGCCCGCGUAGGAUUAGGUAGUUGGUGGGGUAAUGGCCCACCAAGCCGACGAACCUUAGCUGGUCUGAGAGGAUGAUCAUCCACACUGGGGCUGAGACACGGGCCAGACUCCUACGGGAGGCAGCAGUGGGGAGUAUUGGACAAUGGGCGAAAGCAUGAUCCAGCAAUGCCGCGUGAGUGAUGAAGGCCUUAGGGUUGUAAAGCUCUUUUACCAGGGAUGAUAAUGACAGUACCUGGAGAAUAAGCUCCGGCUAACUCCGUGCCAGCCGCCGCGGUAA
rnacentral:rRNA from 1 species